rnacentral:tRNA from 1 species
AAAAUCCGUUGAUUUUUAAAAUCAUGAGGGUUCAAGUCCC